rnacentral:rRNA from 1 species
AUGAAGAUACACAAAGAGAGUACUCCAUUGGUACUGAAGAAAUACUGCACGAAUAUGGUUGGUUGUUGUUCCUUGGAAGUAGGAUUCGCCGCGUCCAAACUCGAGAGGAACACUUCAUCAGUUAGUACCUCUGCGAAAGAUGAAUUAGCGUCUCCUGAAAGAAGAUUCAAAUCCACUCAUUUAGAGAUGCUACAACUGUCGAUACUAAAUUUCGAAGAUAUAUUCAGGAAACUAAACAAGUUGAUGAGGAAACUGUUGUUGCAGCUGUUGAAGAUGCAAAUAAUGUUCUGUGUGACCAACCUAAACGCAAAAGGUAUAGACUCAUACUCUGCUACAUUUAACCCGUUUCAUAUAAGAUGUGUGUCAGUGUAUGUGCUACUGAACUUGGUGCCACAACUAUUGUUUGUACAUCGGAAAGAAUGCUUCUUCUCUUUCACUAAUGCAUGCUAUUUGACCAGUCUUUUUUUUUUAUCACUGAUGUGUGCAAGUUGA